AACGAACGCUGGCGGCGCGCCUAAUACAUGCAAGUCGCACGAGAAAGGGGAGCAAUCCCUGAGUACAGUGGCGCACGGGUGAGUAACACGUGGGUAAUCCACCUCCUUGUGGGGAAUAACCCUGGGAAACCGGGGCUAAUACCGCAUACGUCCGAGAGGAGAAAGCCGCAAGGCGCAGGGAGAGGAGCCCGCGGCCGAUUAGCUAGUUGGUGGGGUAAUGGCUCACCAAGGCGACGAUCGGUAGCCGGCCUGAGAGGGCACACGGCCACACUGGCACUGAAACACGGGCCAGACUCCUACGGGAGGCAGCAGUGGGGAAUCUUGCACAAUGGGGGAAACCCUGAUGCAGCGACGCCGCGUGAGCGAUGAAGCCCUUCGGGGUGUAAAGCUCUUUCGGCAGGGACGAUAACGACGGUACCUGCAGAAGAAGCUGCGGCUAACUACGUG
rnacentral:rRNA from 1 species